UCGUGAUCCACCCGCCUCGGCCUCCCAAAGUGCUGGGAUUACAGGCGUGAGCCACAGCGCCCGGCCUUAUCAAUAAUUUCUUAACAUAACCUGUUAUUUCACUUCUGAG